GACAGAGGUCCCGAGCGUUAGGCGGAAUCACUGGGCGUAAAGCGCACGUAGGCGGAUCUUUAAGUCAGGGUGAAAUCCUGGAGCUCAACUCCAGAACUGCCUUUGAUACUGGGGAUCUCGAGUCCGGAAGAGGUGAGUGGAACUCCGAGUGUAGAGGUGAAAUUCGUAGAUAUUCGGAAGAACACCAGUGGCGAAGGCGGCUCACUGGUCCGGUACUGACGCUGAGGUGCGAAAGCGUGGGGAGCAAACAGGG
rnacentral:rRNA from 1 species